rnacentral:ncRNA from 1 species
UUCUUAUCCAGAGAGGUGGAGGGACUGGCCCUUAGAAGCCUCGGCAGCGGACUAAUAUAUAGUACUGUGCCAAAUCCAGCAAACAUGUUGUUUGAAAGAUAAGAA